rnacentral:rRNA from 1 species
UAACUCCCAACCCCUGUGAACAUACCACUUGUUGCCUCGGCGGAUCAGCCCGCUCCCGGUAAAACGGGACGGCCCGCCAGAGGACCCCUAAACUCUGUUUCUAUAUGUAACUUCUGAGUAAAACCAUAAAUAAAUCAAAACUUUCAACAACGGAUCUCUUGGUUCUGGCAUCGAUGAAGAACGCAGCAAAAUGCGAUAAGUAAUGUGAAUUGCAGAAUUCAGUGAAUCAUCGAAUCUUUGAACGCACAUUGCGCCCGCCAGUAUUCUGGCGGGCAUGCCUGUUCGAGCGUCAUUUCAACCCUCAAGCACAGCUUGGUGUUGGGACUCGCGUUAAUUCGCGUUCCCCAAAUUGAUUGGCGGUCACGUCGAGCUUCCAUAGCGUAGUAGUAAAACCCUCGUUACUGGUAAUCGUCGCGGCCACGCCGUUAAACCCCAACUUCUGAAUGUUGACCUCGGAUCAGGUAGGAAUACCCGCUGAACUUAAGCAUAUCAAUAAGCGGGGGAAAAAGAAAA